UGCAUCGUUGCGUAGGGCUGGCCAUUGAAGCCCCAUGGUGUUUAUCCAGGUUCCUGCUUCUCCCCAGGAGGCCUAUGGACCCCAGUGUUGAUCAUGGGGAAGACUUGGAGGUCCUGUCCUGCCCCACCAGUGCCUUUCUCAGCCCCAGGCUGGUCUAACUGGUGGCAGCUUGUCCCAGAGCCACGCAGACGCCCGCUCGGACGGUGCCCCCGCGCAGCACCGUGCUGCCCUCGUUGCUGACUGUCUCCUGGACUCCCAGGACCACCCUCCCCUGCACGGCUGGGCAGCUUCCCACUCGGAGCUGCUGCCCUGGGUGGGCUCCCUGGCCGCGGCACUGACCUGCACCUAAGUGAGCACCGUGCCCAGCGCCGGUACAUUUGGUAGGCUCCCGGCGGGACGCAGGAUGGACACGAGUUUUCAGCCAGCCUCUGCCCUCAGGCUGGUGCACCACGGUCACGCUGGUGGAGAGAGCGAGCUCUUGUCCCUCGUCAUCGCCGGGUGCAAUAAAAUCAAUACCAGGUAGAGGAGAGAGCUGGGUAUUUCACAAGAGGCUUCUGAGAACUGUCUUUGCUUUGGAAAAGGUGCAGAGCUACUAUGGAAAAUGAAGAGCUUAUGGCGCGUCCCUCCUCAGCAGGCGCAGCCCUCCGGCUCGCGGCUCUGGGUCAGCAGCCAACCUCCCUCUGGGCAGAGAGGAGGGAACACAUGGUAUUUCAAAACGCGUCCAUUUUCAGUGAAACAAAUCACAUAAAAA